rnacentral:rRNA from 1 species
UACGUAGGGUGCGAGCGUUGUCCGGAAUUAUUGGGCGUAAAGAGCUCGUAGGCGGUGUGUCGCGUCGGCCGUGAAAACCCGUGGCUCAACCAUGUGGUCUGCAGUCGAUACGGGCAGGCUAGAAUUCGGUAGGGGAGACUGGAAUUCCUGGUGUAGCGGUGAAAUGCGCAGAUAUCAGGAGGAACACCGGUGGCGAAGGCGGGUCUCUGGGCCGAUAUUGACGCUGAGGAGCGAAAGCGUGGGGAGCGAACAGG